rnacentral:lncRNA from 1 species
AAAAUCUAUUCUAAAAAAGAUUUUUCAAAAUGGAAAAAUGAUCCUCCAAAAUUUUCAGUCACACAACAAUAUCAGAAAAGUUCAGCAAUUUUACACAAAAAUUGAAGAUUCUAUAGGUUGUCUAGCAUGUGAGAAUAUCAACAUCUAUUUUUCAUUAUAGUACACUUAGAGUAUGACAUAGCUCGAUGUGUUAUACACCAAAUUGUUCGGCUCAUUAAGACAAAUCGACUGGUCUCAUCCAUAUUGAAAUCCUAGCAAUACUGACAGACUUAUUAAGUCUUGAAUGUGCCAUUUAAGCAAAUUUUGCAGUUUUUGGCACUUUGACAAGCCUCGCUGUGAUUUCGCAAAGCCAAAUUUUUUCGACAUCCUAGAUUUAUCCCAGUGGUCAUUUAAAAAAAAAGUUCAAGUUAAUCAGUCCAGUGGUUCCUCAGAAACACUACUGUCAGCAUUCCCUCUAAUGUUAAACAAAGGUAUCAAGUAUAUCAUCAGUAGCACUACCAUUGAUAUAUAUAAUUCAUUUAAACAUUAUGGUAUAUAAUUUUAUAAAAUCAAUAUUUGUGACUCU